AACGAACGCUGGCGGCAUGCCUAACACAUGCAAGUCGAACGAGAACAUCGGGUCUAGUGGUGUAUGGCUGAGUAACGCGUGAGAACCUGCCAAUAGGUUCGGAAUAACCUAGAGAAAUUUGAGCUAAUAUCGGAAGAUGUCUUCGGACCAAAGAUUUAUCGACGUUAGAUGGGCCCGCGUUGGAUUAGCUUGUUGGUGGGGUAAAGGCCUACCAAGGCGACGAUUCAUAGCUGGUCUGUGAGAAAGAUCAGCCACACUUGGACUGAGACACGGCCCAGACUCCUGCGGGAUGCAGCAGUGGGGAAUGUUGGACUAUGGGCUGUAUCCUGAUCCAGCAAUGCCUCUUGAGUAAUGAAGGCCUUAGGGUUGUAAAUCUCUUUUACCCGAGAUGAUAAUGACAUUAUCGGGAGAAUAAGCUCCGGCUAACUCCGUG
rnacentral:rRNA from 1 species